UCCACCGGAGAGAUUUUCUGAAUCUGUCAUCUCUUCAGAGCGACUAAUGAGUUUUGUCAUCUGGUAUUGUUCAUUUUUUGGGCUGGGGAGUGCUUUGCCUGUUAAAUAAACAGGUUUUUUCCACUUCUCUCUGCGGAAAUUUUUCCCAAACUGAUUGAGGGGAGGGGCCGUGUGGGUUUGAUUUCUGGGGGGGACCCUUUUGGACAUUUGCUCCCAAAUUUGCCCUAAACCAGGACACAGGGACAAUCUCUUUGCUGGCUCUAGACUUUAUGACAGUCUGUCCCCUGGGGCUGGGGGAGCUGUCACAGGGCAGGGAGGGCCAGGGCUGGCAGGGGCUGCUCAGGGAUGGGUUUGGCCCAUGUCCCUCGAAGCAGCGACUGCCCAAGCAGCUGCGCUGGCCCCGGGCUCUCCUCCCGGCCUGCUGGGCUUUGUUGGGUGGCACAGCCUGUGCCAAGGGGCGGCAAGGGGCCUGCAGGCCCCAGCUCUGGGGGAAACAGAGAACGUCCUGGCCGUAUCCACCGUGCUGCCAGCUCGGCAGUGCAGCACAGCACGGGCUCACGCUCCCCAUUGCUCCCACAGACGUUAUCACUGAAACAGGAAUAUUUGCCCUGGAUCCAGUGCGCCUCCCAAGAAUUGUCUGCCCCCAGGAUGUGCGCAGGUCCUGCAUGAUAGGCACGGUGGUGACACUGUUCACCGUGCCCCUCGUGCUGACAGGCUGCUAUCUUGGCAUUCGGAAGCUGUACCAGAGCAGACGAUUCAUGAAACUUAUGUUGGUGUGAUGUGACCAAUAGAAGAGUUUUGCUCUGCUUUUAAUUCCAACAAGAAGCAGAGCUGGAACCUGUUGAGAAGAGUCUCUUUUCACUUCAUAGCUAAAGCAAACUGCCAGUGUUCUUUUUUUCCAGCUCUGGGCAGGAAAAUAAAAAUCUAUCAGCAGAAAA